CACAAGCCAAUAUACAAACCAGUUUAUCAUUUUUAUCUCUGAAUAACUUAGGAUUAAAAGCGGUAACCUCAACAGGUCCUUCAUGUCCGAUAAGAUUAAUUUCACUGGUCCAUGUUCCACGCUCUAUUAUCGAAACACAAGACACUGGACCAUUCAUCGCAUUUGGAGCAGCAAUAUGUUUUCCAUCCGGUGACCAAGACGGCCUUCGAAAAUAGGUUGAUAAAGGUGAAUUGUUAAAGGGACCUGUAAUGGUCUUCUCAAUUGAAAAGUCACUUACUCUCCAGACCUUUAUAGUUCUAUCAUCGCUUUCAGUGGCAAAGUACUUACCCGCGGGGUCAAAAGUUAUACCUUUCACGUGACUUUGAUGAGCUUCAAUUCGCUUUAGUCGUUCAAAAGUAGUACCGUUCCAAACAAUAAUCGAACUAUCUAAUCCGACACUCACUACAAGUUGGCUAUCAUAACUCCAACAUAAAUCCUGGAUAUCUAAAAAAAUUAGAAACUUUAACAUAAAAUAUUCACUAACCAUUAUCGUGGCCCAGUAAACGUCGGUAACUACGCCAAUUCUCAGUGUGUUUUUCACCGGAUCCAAACGUAGAACCUAAACCAGGAAUUGCUCUGUGUUAAUAGUUAGAUUAAAAAACGAAUUAAUAACAUACUCCUCCUUGUGCCAUAUAAUAACUACUCGAUCAUCACUACCUGAAGCAAGGUAUUGACCAUUAGGGCUAAAACGUACUGAAGUAACUGUACCAGUAUGAGUACUCAUACAACACAGCUGUUUAGGAAGAUCUUCAUUUUCAUUUUCGUUCUCAUUUUCACGGUUGAUAGCUUCAGUAGACCAAAUUCGAAUUGUACCAUCUACGGGCAGUUAGCAAGUGGUCUUACAAAUUGAAUUGAAACAUCAUUAGACAUACCCAGUCCUCCAGUUGCUAUCCGUGAUCCAUCUGGAUGUAUGUGAAUAGAAAAUAUAGAUAGCCGAUGCCCUCGAUCGUCUAGCUGAAUUAGUUAACAAUUCAAAGUAUUUCAACAGUAGCAGAUUGUUAGGCGUACCAAAGUGUCCUAACCAUGGAAUUUUUUUAAUUUUCAUUUAUUAAUAAAU